GAUGAACGCUGGCGGCGUGCCUAAUACAUGCAAGUCGAGCGAACAGAUGAGGAGCUUGCUCCUCUGACGUUAGCGGCGGACGGGUGAGUAACACGUGGAUAACCUACCUAUAAGACUGGGAUAACUUCGGGAAACCGGAGCUAAUACCGGAUAAUAUAUUGAACCGCAUGGUUCAAUAGUGAAAGACGGUUUUGCUGUCACUUAUAGAUGGAUCCGCGCCGCAUUAGCUAGUUGGUAAGGUAACGGCUUACCAAGGCGACGAUGCGUAGCCGACCUGAGAGGGUGAUCGCCCACACGGGAACUGAGACACGGUCCAGACUCCUACGGGAGGCAGCAGUAGGGAAUCUUCCGCAAUGGGCGAAAGCCUGACGGAGCAACGCCGCGUGAGUGAUGAAGGUCUUCGGAUCGUAAAACUCUGUUAUUAGGGAAGAACAAAUGUGUAAGUAACUAUGCACGUCUUGACGGUACCUAAUCAGAAAGCCACGGCUAACUACGUG
rnacentral:rRNA from 1 species